UUAAACUGGUUUGAACUGGUGGCAUCUUUUAUAGCAUCCACUUUUUCUUGGAUUUCUUUCUUGAAGGCUGUGUGCAGAAAGUUUAUCUCCAAGAAAAACAAUUUCCUCAACUCCAAACUGGCAUUUGCUCUUGUUUAGCUUUAGUCCAUACCUACUUAUCCGCUCCAGCACUUUUAUCAGCCUCACAUUGUGCUCCUGGAGUGUGGAGCCCCACACAACAACGUCAUCAACAUACAGCCGAACUCCAUCUAGCUGUGUUGAUGCAAAACUCUUCACCAGCCCCAAAUCCUGCCAGGCUUCAUCACCCAGAAGUGAAUCAAGCUCCUCAGCAACAACAGAGAAGAACAGCAUCCAAGGUCUGGUGCCAUCCGACGGCAACAACAGUGGAACCGGAUGUGAAUGGAAGCUGCCCAGAAGCGCGAGUGAAGAUAAAUCAAAUAUACACUGAGGACAGCACAUGAUGAUCAGAGCAGAGAGCAGGCGGACGGCCAGAGAGAUGGUCUACCUGGACAUGGAUCACCUGUUGGUGCUGCUGCUGCUGUGGAGCUCAGGACUCCAGGCUGAAGGAAAUCACACCUCAACAGAGCCUGAUGAUUUCAGGUUGGUGGGAGGAGCCAGUCGCUGUGCAGGAACAGUGGCGGUGA